GAUGAAGAACGUAGCGAAAUGCGAUAAGUAAUGUGAAUUGCAGAAUUCAGUGAAUCAUCGAAUCUUUGAACGCACAUUGCGCCCGCUAGUAUUCUGGCGGGCAUGCCUGUCCGAGCGUCAUUUCAACCCUCAAGCCCCCGGCUUGGUGUUGGGGAUCAGCGAGCCUCCGCGCCCGCCGUCCCCUAAAUCUAGUGGCGGUCUCGCUGUAGCUUCCUCUGCGUAGUAGCACACCUCGCACUGGGAAACAGCGCGGCCACGCCGUUAAACCCCCAACUUCUGAACGUUUGACCUCGGAUCAGGUAGGAAUACCCGCUGAACUUAAGCAUAUCAAUAAGCGGAGGA
rnacentral:misc_RNA from 1 species